rnacentral:sRNA from 1 species
AUUUAAACUCAAUUUAGAAGAUGUUGA